rnacentral:misc_RNA from 1 species
UUGCUGGAACAAGGAAGGUGAUAAAAUCGCUGCCUGUUUUGCGAACAACACUGUUUGUGUCUUAGAUUUCAGAAUGUGAGAUUUUGAGAAGUUCCAAUAGAAUUAGCUUCAUAUUUUUCUUCUUUUUUGAUGGGGGAAGAGAACUUAAAUCCGGUGGAGGGGGUUCUCUAACCUAAGACCUUAGACUCAACUUUUCAUGUCAAGUUGUAGUUCUCUGUAAUUGUCACUCCAUUGAUAAUAGUUU